rnacentral:rRNA from 1 species
GGCGGCGUGCCUAACACAUGCAAGUCGAGCGAAGCGAUUUGGCGGAAGUUUUCGGAUGGAAGUUAAAUUGACUGAGCGGCGGACGGGUGAGUAACGCGUGGGUAACCUGCCUCAUACAGGGGGAUAACAGUUAGAAAUGACUGCUAAUACCGCAUAAGCGCACAGCAUCGCAUGAUGCAGUGUGAAAAACUCCGGUGGUAUGAGAUGGACCCGCGUCUGAUUAGCUAGUUGGUGAGGUAAAGGCCCACCAAGGCGACGAUCAGUAGCCGACCUGAGAGGGUGAUCGGCCACAUUGGGACUGAGACACGGCCCAAACUCCUACGGGAGGCAGCAGUGGGGAAUAUUGCACAAUGGGGGAAACCCUGAUGCAGCAACGCCGCGUGAGUGAAGAAGUAUUUCGGUAUGUAAAGCUCUAUCAGCAGGGAAGAAAAUGACGGUACCUGACUAAGAAGCCCCGGCUAACUACGUGCCAGCAGCCGCGGUAGUACGUAGGGGGCAAGCGUUAUCCGGAUUUACUGGGUGUAAAGGGAGCGUAGACGGCGAAGCAAGUCUGAAGUGAAAGCCCGGGGCUUAACCCCGGGACUGCUUUGGAAACUGUUUUGCUAGAGUGCUGGAGAGGUAAGUGGAAUUCCUAGUGUAGCGGUGAAAUGCGUAGAUAUUAGGAGGAACACCAGUGGCGAAGGCGGCUUACUGGACAGUAACUGACGUUGAAGCUCGAAAGCGUGGGGAGCAAACAGGAUUAGAUACCCUGGUAGUCCACGCGGUAAACGAUGAAUGCUAGGUGGUUGGGGAGCAAAGCUCUUCGGUGCCGUCGCAAACGCAAUAAGCAUUCCACCUGGGGAGUACGUUCGCAAGAAUGAAACUCAA